CCAACCGACACAGCGACACAGACACAACAUAGGAGAAUAUCCAAGUAGUAUAAUGGCGUCCUCAAAAUCUCGUCUUGAAUGAGUUCUCAUUUUUGCCACCAGGUGUAAAGGUCCUACAAAUAAUCAACUCUUCUGUGAAAGAAAUUGUUUCGAAAAAUUGAAAAUUGUAUUCGAAAAAUUAAAUUUUUUCGAAUUGUCUCAACAAUUGGAAUGUGAAGCACCAUUCUCCGGUAACAUCCGAUACGUCAUUCGAAUUUUUUUUUUUGCAAGCAAGUAUGUCAAAAAUUUGUAGCAUGUCUGGGUUCGAAAGCGGAAAAUAUGGAGACCAUAAGAGACGGAAAGAGCUAAGGUUGCAGCCUAUUCCUCUGUUUGCUGUACCAUAAAGAGUAAUGAUUUUCUGGAAGCAUGGGAAAAUGUACUGAAGCAAUAAUUUAGACGAGAUGCAGCACAUUUGUUAUCUACCCUUUGCGGAUAAACACAUUCGAACAAGUAAUAGAAUCAAGUGCGGCUAUGUGUGCAUACCUUUUGAGCAUUGGUUUUUAGUAGACAACGCUAUACCGACAUUACCGAAUCAACCAGUGUUUAAAUAAUAUCAAAUGUUAAACUUUCUGUUAAACCUUCUUUCAAAGUUCUUUUGAAAUUUUAAUGCUUCCAGACAUUUUUAAUAGUUGUCACAAUUCAUUUUUGCUGCGUUUUUGGCUUUUUAUAAGUAAAAAAAAUCUCAACAUGUACUUGAAAUCAUCCUAACAAUUUGGCAUUCCCGAUAUUUUGGCUAUUUAUAUUUUUUUUGUAAAAUUUCAAAACAAUAAUGUUUU